AGCAACGCGCAGAACCUUACCUACCCUUGACAUGUCCAGUAUGAGCACCAGAGAUGGAGCUCUUCAGUUCGGCUGGCUGGAACACAGGUGCUGCAUGGCUGUCGUCAGCUCGUGUCGUGAGAUGUUGGGUUAAGUCCCGCAACGAGCGCAACCCUCGCUUCUAGUUGCCAUCAUUCAGUUGGGCACUCUAGAGGGACUGCCGGUGAUAAGCCGGAGGAAGGUGGGGAUGACGUCAAGUCCUCAUGGCCCUUACGGGUAGGGCUACACACGUGCUACAAUGGCGGUGACAGUGGGCAGCGACACAGUGAUGUGAUGCUAAUCCCAAAAAGCCGUCUCAGUUCAGAUUGCAGUCUGCAACUCGGCUGCAUGAAGUCGGAAUCGCUAGUAAUCGCUAAUCAGCAGGUAGCGGUGAAUACGUUCCCGGGCCUUGUACACACCGCCCGUCACACCAUGGGAGUUGGUCAUACCUGAAGACGGUGUUCUAACCCGCAAGGGAGGAAGCCGGCCACGGUAUGGUCAGCGACUGGGGUGAAGUCGUAACAAGGUAGCCGUAGGGGAACCUGCGG
rnacentral:rRNA from 1 species